AUCGGCUGUGUGUGCAGGGCGUGAGCGCUAAGUGGCAGCCAAAAUGGAGCAGUUGCUAUGGCUACUCACAUGCAGAGAUGAUAUCUGCAGAGCCGAUUUCUGCGUGUAAAAUUGAGCACGGGAUGGACUAGCAGUGAUUUUUAUUGGGCGGGACAGGGAAGUUCCUGCGUUAUAAAACUGUUGCAGGAUCAAGACAGUACGGUAAAAAAAUUGACAGGACAAGAAGGGACAGGAAUGGAUUUUCACUCCUGUGCCAAUCUCAACCAUACUGUACUGAGACAUUGCUGGUGUUAUGAUGAGAAUGGUUGGGAAAAGUGGUGGGGGUUAUAUGGUAUCGACUCAUAGCGAGGAUGUCCUCCCUACCCUCUGUGCUGAUCUCUCGACAACGGACAAGGUCACUCUUGUUGCCCACGAGGAUGAUGGGAGUGUGGGGCAGUGACUCCCUGAGGAUGAGGCGGAGCUGUGCAGUGCGCUGGAAACUCCUCCUGUCAGUCACCGAGAACACCAGGACAACCACCUCACACUGCAGCGUGGACAGGUCCUGCAUCACACACACACACACACACACACACACACACACACACACACACAUUAAUGAUACUGAUACACACUUGUUCUCUUCUCAACAACCUAUAUUAUGUUUAUAUAAAUAUAUACACAAUCAGUACUAUUGUGCCAGUUCUUAUCCCUCACCACCUGGCAUAACCCUUAUUUUAAUCCUACUUUACGUUCUCUGCUGAGUGGACUCACAGGGGCUUUGUCCUAAAUCCAACACUACACAUUGUGCCCUUGUGAGCUUCCUGCUUCAGUUUGAGGCUUCUGACCCUUUUAGUGGUGGCCACUCCCCACUGAAGCACUGGGCUUAAAUGAUGUCUCCCUCCCUCUAGUCCUGGCCUGUAUAGUAAACUGUGGCUCUGGAGGACAGGCCUCUCUGAUUCACUCACUCACUCAGGCACACAGAAGGAGAAGAGCUGCCAGCACCCUUUCUUAACCCACCAUAGCCAGCCCUGUGUGCCUGUGUCUGACUGUGUCUGUUUCGGUCUGUGUGCCCUACAUCCACAUGGAUCUGAAGGUACAUUUCAGCCCUCUGGAGAGCCUCCGCCUGAAAAAUUCCCAGCUCCUACAAGCCAAAGAGGAUUGUACCCCGCAGCAGGGAAUCCAUGGUCUCCGGAACCCACUCCAUCUCCCUCUGGAGGAGGGAGGGGAGUUAGCGGCGCAGAAUGACACUGACUCCGAAUGGGAGCCCCCAGUGGCAAGGUGUCCAUCCCCCAC